UAAAGAGUGCGUAAUAGCUCACUGGUCGAGGAGUUUGGCGCCGAUAAUGAUCGGGAAUAAGCAUGAUACCGAAGCCGCGAACUUCGUAAGAAGUGGUAGGUGAGCGUUCCAUUCAGCGGUGAAGGUACUCUGAAAAGGGUGCUGGAGCGUAUGGAAGUGAAUAUGCGGGCUUGAGUAACGAUAAACAGGGUGAGAAUCCCUGUCGCCGUAAGUCUAAGGUUUCCUGGGGAAGGUAAAUCCGCCCAGGGUUAGCCGGGUCCUAAGGCGAGGCCGAAAGGCGUAGUCGAUGGAUAGCAGGUUAAUAUUCCUGCGCACCUGUUGAGAUCGAAGCAUAGUGCGGAUUUCCAAGCUCUUCUGGACUGUUAGACGUCCAGGCCUUCGGGCCGUUGAAGGGGGAGGGAGUUCCUAGAAAAGCUAUGUGGGCGAUACAGGUCCCGUACUAAAACUGACACAGGUAGACGAGGCGAAUAGCCUCAGGCGCUCGAGAGAAUGGUUGUGAAGGAAUUAGGCAAAAUCACUCCGUAAGUUCGCAAGAAGGAGGCCCUUCGGGGCGCAGAGAAAAGGCCCUGGCAACUGUUUAUCAAAAACACAGCACUGUGCUAACUCGCAAGAGGAUGUAUACAGUGUGACGCUUGCCCAAUGCCCGAAUGUCACGGAAGCAGGUUAGCUUCGGCGAAGCUUGCAACUUAAGCACGGGUCAAUGGCGGCCGUAACUAUGACGGUCCUAAGGUAGCGAAGUUCCUUGUCGGGUAAGUUCCGACGCGCAUGAAUAGCGUAAUGACUGGGGCACUGUCUCCACAACCAACUCGGUGAAAUAGUAGUGGCGGUGUAGAUGCCGCCUACCCGCAGCAAGACGGAAAGACCCCGUGAACCUU
rnacentral:rRNA from 9 species